rnacentral:lncRNA from 1 species
AUAGGCCCCGGCGGAGGGCCGCGGCCUUUCUCGGCCGUUGGUGCCGCCAUCUUCUGGGGCCGCCGCCGCCUCCAUCCGGCUCCAUCCGCCGCCCCCGCCGCCGCCCGCCCGCCGGGACUGACCGCGGCGCCGCCGCACCGCCAUGAGGGCCAAGUGGCGCAAGAAGCGGAUGCGCAGGCUGAAGCGCAAGAGAAGAAAGAUGAGGCAAAGGUCCAAGUAGGCCCCGCCGGGCCCCGCCGCCACCGGGGAGAGACGGCCCGGUGCCCCGUGAAGGGGUGGGGUGGGGGAGGCCGGCCCGGUGCCGCGGGGAGGGCCCCGCCGCGCCGGGCCGGUUGUGUGCUCUGUGCCGCUAAUAAAGCUGGUGUUGUCGGGACACGGUGUGGUUUCUCGGGGAGCGGGUGGGGGCGGGUCCUCCGGUAACGGGAGCGGGGGGGUUGUCGAGACGGGGGUCACGGGAGGGGCAGGGGGGAGGAGGAUCGGGACACACCCCCCCCGCCCCCAUCGGGACGGGGGUUACCGGGAGGAGCAGGGGGAGGGCGGAGGAGGGUCCCGGAUCGGGGGUACCGGGGCGGCGGAGGGAGCUCCGGGCUGGCGGCGCAUCCAUAUGACGUCAC